GGGCCCAGGUUCCAGGGACGCCGGCCUCAGCCGCCACGGAGUGCGGAGCAAACUCUCCCACCCGCCCCGGUGCCCGGCCCACGGAGUUGUCCAGACUCUCCUUCCCGCCGUCUUCCUCCUUCCUGCCCCAUACCUUACAACCGUUCUGGGGUCUUUCCAGGACGCCAUCUCCCCCGCUCCCCGCCACUUUUAUCAUGGAGUUAUAUGGAGGCCUCGCCCUUCCGGUUCUCCUAGUCGAUUCUGGGCUCUUGGCCCAAGUCCUUCGUUGGUAGAUCCUUCCCGGGUCAUCCAGGAUAAAGGACCCUUACUAGGGCGGGCUGCAAGAAUGCGGUUCCUGCUUUGACCUUGAUCUGAAGGGAAACGGCCUGGCUUAACUUCUCGUUUGAGCAUCUCCUUGCAGACCUUUACUCAUUGAACGUAUUCUUAUUUGCCUCAUUGUCGUGUGGAGUAGGAGGAAUUAGAAGCCCGCAGUCCAGAUGGAACUCAAGGCCUCCCAAAUGAAGAGAUCUACCACUGAGAUGUGGAGCUGAAGUUUGGAUGUUAUGACACUUUGGGGCUCACAAAGGACAGAUCUCACAAGGACUGAUAUUAAGAAUACUUCACAGAUGUAUGGAGCAGACACAAGCCAGUCACCACAGAAGCUUCUGUAAACAAGGAGGCCACCUGCGCCAGGGAUGGUGUGCACAUCAGCCCGGUCCCAGGAUUUGUCCUGGCUUUUCAGUCUUGCCUCCUCUGCCUCUGUGUCACACACAGAUGUGCAGGGCUGGAGUGGAUUUUCUCCUUCAGCGAGAAUGAUGGGAUUGUCUGCGUUCUGUAAAGGCCACCGAGAGCACAUGCAUGAUGAUCUGAGACCGUGCAAUACAGCAGCGUGCCCCCCUCCCAAUGCCAGAGCAAGAUCAGAUAUUGCUGGGUCUCUGCCACGCAUGUGCCACUGUGGUAGCAGCUCCGGCCCACUUACGUGCAGAGAGCUUCACGAAGGGAUUAUUGGGGGCUCCUGUUACAUCAGUUAAAUGUGUAGCUUAACAACUGGGUUUGGAGACGGCUUGAUCUCCAAAGUCCAUGUAUCAGAAGUGUGGUCCUCAGUGUGGACAUAUAGAGAAGUGGUGGGACCUUUAAGAGCUGGGGCAGUGUGGACGGAGGUUAGGUCACUGAGGGUGCGGCUCUCAGAAGAGACAUAUGUCGUUCUUGUGGGUCCCCAGUUAGUUUCUGAGAGAGGAAUCAUGAAAUAACAAGCCUAGCCCCUCUGGCUUCCUGUGUCUCUAUGUGAGCUCUCCCUCCUGCACACGUUUGCACUGGGAUGUGGUCCAUCAUGAUGGGAUGCAGCCAAGGGGACUCUCACCAGAGGCUGAACCAAUGAACUACACUGAGAUUCCAUCUCCCUCCAGUCAGAAUGGCAACUGUCAAAAAGACAAGUGACAAUCAAUGUUGGUGAGGAUGAGGGGGGGAAGGAACACUCAGACGUUGCUGGCAGGACUGCAAAUUGGAGCCACCACUCUGGAAGGCACUCCUGUAGGAAGUGGAGUGAGCCAUCCAAUGCUCUCCUGCAGAUGAUCUUGGUUCUUCACAGCAUUCAUUCAUUUCCUCGGUUGGCAAGCAUUUAGUAAGGGACAGUAUGCCACCCUUGAGCUCAUCUUUGGCUCUUCUAUCUUCUGGAAGCCUCAUCCCAAAGAUGACAGCAGGUCUACUUGGUUCCUGUCCAAGGCUGCAGCCAGAUCUGGGAGGACUGGCUGGUCCCUGUUCUUCUUCUCUGGUGGGAACCUGAUUGGGUUCAGGCUGGGACCUGUUCCAGGGCUGGCUGCAGCCCUGUGUGUCUCCUGGAUGGCUGCCCUGCUGUGACACAUCACCGGCACGUCUUCCUUCUGGACUUCUUGCUUGCCACCAGUCAGUUCAUGAACUCUGCAUCUCCAUCACUGGAGUAUGUUGAUGGGCAGGCCACUGCCCUUUUCUACUUCCCAGCGGACAGAAAGACCUCCUACCCUUUGGUUUGAUUCACAUUUACUGCUUACCAGUCCAGGAUUCCAGCUGACUCUAGCAUCCCAGGAUAAAUGUGGCUGGAAAUUGACUGCUUCAGGAGCCAAAUCUGUCACUUAUAACUUUAGGAGUUACCUCUUCUUAAGCAUUACUAAAUGGGGCCUAUUCUUUUAAGGGGGGAAUAAUUCUUUUAGAUUUUUAUGUUAGUCUGGGGGUGAAGUAGAGUGCCUGUCUAGCAUGUAACAGGCCCUGGCACCCCCAAACCAAAGUAUAAAAUGUUCAAUGUAAAAUAUAUGUUAUGAAAUAUACAACACAAUAAACAUCUGUGAGCACAGAAUUAAAGCAAGAAUUAAAGCAUUAUCAAUUU